UCAUGUAUUUAUCAAUCAAUCUUUUUUAUUUUUUGGAAAAAUAAGAGCCAAAGUUUAAAACGCGAUGAUGACGAGGGGUUCAUGAAGUGGAAACUGGAUAUGUUUUUGAUAAGCGCCGAAAGUUAAGCCCAUCACAGACACAAAAUUGGACCAGAGUUGUAACCUUCAAUUGGGUUUUUAAAAAUAAUUCAGGAAUGGAAAUAGAGAGAGUUUGAGAGAGAGAUAAAAUAUUGGUUUUGAAAAAACACAAUAAUUGUUCUUGUGGAGAUGAAUUUUGCUUCUUAACCCAAUUGAUGCUGCAUAGGUGGAGGGUUGAUGUGCAUGUUACUUUGAAGUGCUUCAGGCAAAUACACAAUUAAUGUCUCGGAUCAUUUUUAGUUCUUCAUUAAUUUUACAUCAGUUAUAUCCAACUUCAAGGAGAUGUGACUUGUUUGGCUACUAUUCCUUUUUACAUGGAAGUUGAAGCCCAUUUCUUGGCAAAGGAGGAUGGCAUCAUUGCUGGAAUUUCACUCGCAGAGAUGAUAUUUCAUGAGGUUGAUCCCUCGCUAAAGGUGGAGUGGUCUCGAAAAGAUGGAGAUUGUGUUCGGAAUGGACUGCAGUUUGGAAAGUCUCUGGACGGGCACACAACAUUGUUGUUGCUGAAAGAGUAGUGCUAAAUUUUAUGUAGCAGAUGAGCGGAAUAGCAACUCUGACUAAGGUUUCUUUAUUUCCUAGAAUUUGGAAAUAGAAUCAAGUAAUAUAGUGUAGUUACUUACAUCAUCAUCUUUAAUUUAACAAGGAUUUUUGGCUAUAUUAGAGUACGUAACAAGAGAUGGUAAUCAUCAAAAUGUUUUGCAGCCUGUCUAAAUCCAAGUGUCAUGGGUUAGAAGUGUAAAAGGUCAGUGGUGAUCAAUGCAAGCGGCCCAAAAACUCUAAAACAAAUGAUUUUGUAGUAAGAAUCACUCUACUCAUGCUGUUACUGCUGCAUGUUUCAAAUUGCAGGUUAUAUUUUGUUAACAUGACCACAUGCUGUUUCAGAUGGAUGCAUGAAUAGAACAUCUGAACAUGGUUGGUAAUAUAUUGUAAUGGAUUUCAAUGUAGAUCAAAUGAAGUGUUUUUGGUCCCGUGGCUGGGUUACAGAACAGGGGACAAUGGUUGAUGCUGCACACCCAGCGUGCAUUUUAGAUACACGAAAAACUGCUCCAGGUUUACAUUUGGUUGAUAAGUGGGUGGUGCUAAUUGGUGGAGGUCGGAAUCACAGAAUGGGUUUAUUUGAUAUGGUUAUGAAAAGAGAUAAUCAUAUGUCAGUAGCUGGAGGUAUCAUAAACGCCAUCAAAUCUUUUGAUCGGUAUUUAGAAAUAGUUUGAUAGUGGGGUGGAAAUUAAUCUGCAAAACUUUUGUGUGUGCAUGCCUUGCUGAACCUUGUUAGUCUUGAUUUUUUUUUUACCUAAAGUCGAGACAAGGACUCUUGAGGAAGUAGAUGAGGUGCUACGUUAUACAUCUCAAACAAAGUCAUCCUUUACCCGUGUAAUGCUAGAUAAAAUGGUUGUACCACUGCCAAAUGGGGAUGUUGAUGUAUCUAUGCUCAAAGAUGCUGUGGAGAUGAUCAAUGGGAGAUUUGAGACUGAGGUAGCACUUGCUAUCAGCUGUGCUUUAGUUCCCUACUCAGUAUGAGGUAUUUUAGUUUAAUCUGAGGAAUUUCAAUUAUAUCUAAUUUCCUGGGGGGCACUUUUAUUAAAUUUGACAUGUCUUGUGAGGACACAACUCGUGUCUAUCUUUGUUCAACAGUCAUGUAGAAAUCUGUGCAAAACUUCCCAUUAUUUACAUGAUAGAUAUACACGACUGUGAGGUUGUUGUGUACUUUUGUCAAUAAAUUAGCAUCUGGUUAUAAUUUGUAAUAAUCGUUUUGCUUUUUAUGGACACCAUGAAUGAUCAAGUACG